GGGGUGUUAAUUCUUCUACCCUUUUAUUUCUCCUUCACUCCAAAAACUUCAUGGAAUCAUAACUUUCUCGUACGGCAAUGAAAUCAUGCACGGUCGAAGCCUAUGUAUUCGUAGCGAAGCGCUCUUCAAUUGGUACCAAACCCAUAUGCUGGAACCAAACGUGCCCAUAUUUUGAAGCCUACAAGCUUCGACGACUUUUGUGAUCUUUUCGCCGAUUCCGGCUAACCUCGCCGGAGAUAGGUCUUGAACCAAGAGGGAAUAAUACUCCUCUCUUCAUGCACUUCCAGGAUGUGUAAGUGGAUCUUUCGAAUUUAAAGUUUUAUUUUCCCACAAGUUUGAGAUUUAUGUGUUUAACUUGAAUUUUUGGUGUUCUUGAUGGGGAGUUGUGGUGGUAACAUUGAUUCAAGAGCUUAGUAGCUAAGUGGAGAUUGAUGAACAACUUUGGAGGGCAGGACAAGAACAAGAAAUGAUUCAGAUGUUGUGCUGGAAAGUUUGGAGGACUUGUGUUGACAAAGAUAGUCGGACACGAGGUAGGAGGUUCUAGGGAAACUCCAUUAUAAGUAUUAUUCUUUAUUGUUCGUAUUAAUUUGGGAUCUAAAUAUUGUUUGAUAAAUAUUUGGAUAUGAUUGCCAAUUGAAUACCUAUAUGAACUUAGCAUUACUACCUAGUGUGGGAUAGAGAUGAAAGUCAGAAGAUGAGUCAGGUACUUUAUUAGUUUUUAGUAGAAACAGUAAUUAAGGGAAUUUCUUGUGUUGUGCUCCAUAUGACCAGAUGAUGGUUGUGACUUAUGUGAGUUAAAUUAUCUUUUUAGUUAUGUGAAUGAUGUGUGUGAUUAUUUUUACAACAAUGUGAUCCUAGACUCCUAUUAGAAGUAUGUUGUAACACUUAUAUGCUUGCGUGACAUAUUAGUGGUGACCUCGAGAAAUUGAUGGUGUAGGUGACUACGUUGUAACUCAUAGGGGUUGAGAUGUGGAUAAGUUGAGGUGUUGAAUUUACUACACCAUGUAGUAGUUGUACUUGGUACAUUUGAUGGGGGAAUCUUAUGCUUGUUUGGAUUCUGUUGAGUGAUGUUCCGGAAUCAUAUCCUUGCGUGGAUUCCGUUGAGUGAUGGUUCGGAAUCCCUUCUACACUAUGAUUCCGUUGAGUGAUGUUCUGGAAUCGUAUCUCGGUUUGGAUUCCGUUGAGAGAUGGUCCGGAAUCCCUUUUACUCCGCGAUUCCGUUGAGUGAUGAUCCGGAAUCGUAUUCUAAUUUGGAUUCCGUUGAGAGAUGGUCCAGAAUCCCUCCUAUUUCGCGAUUCCGUUGAGUGAUGGUCCGAGAUCGUACUCACCUUGGGGUUCAUUGAAGAAUUUAGAUGGCUUCAAAGGUGUAGGCUUCGGCCUAACUGUGUCGCUCUAACCCUACUUUCCAUUGUGUUGUAUGAGAAGAUGGGUGUGAGAUGUUGUGAUGGAUUUCAGACGAACCGUUGGAUGUCUAGGUGACUCCUUCGGGGUUUACAAAAGUUUGGUAUUGAUUUCUUAUGAAUAAUUUAUAUUCAAGAGAUGUAAACGGUGAGUAAUGGUUAGCUUUGUCAUUAUUAUCACAUACUUGUACUAUUGUCACUCACCCAAGCUUUGUAGCUUAUUUGAAUUCUUGAUGCCGAUACACCAUUUCCAUGGUGUAGGCACUGAUUGUACAGAUGUCAGGUUUGAAGAGAUUACAAGAGGUCGCUUGGUAUUUUGGUUGGAUUAUGUUGAGUGGGCUGGAAUCCCUACUCUUGCUCCUUUCCGUAAAGGUAAUUCGACCUUAGAGUCGAGUGAAUAUGAAUUGUUCACAGUAGAAAAAUUAGACUUAUCAGGUUAGUACUUGGAAUCCAGGUGGGGAAAUAUGAAGAGAUCCUUUAUUAAAAUUUGUGAAUUGAUAUGGGACCUUAUUGAUUGAAUAACAUAGUAAUUGUAGAUAUCAUGCAUCUUUGAUUUUAGGAGUGAUUAAGUAGAAUGAUUGCGGAAUGAUGUGGGAUAUGAUUGUUAUUAUUAUGAUUAGUCUCGUUGCUCAAUGUGGCAUUGAGAAUAAUAUUGUGCUUUGUUGGUUCUUGGAUAUGUUACAUGUGGUAGAUUAAGGUUUCAUGUUGAAAACAUAGUGACUUAUAUGAGAGGUGGAAUGGAAACCUUGAUUGUCAUAUUGGAUUGUUAUGUAGCCUUGAAUCUAGUACUUCCAUACUUGUCAAAUUCUAAUGAUUGAUUGAGGAAUGCUAUAUCUUUCGGCUUGAAUGUAUUGUGGUAAAUGUAGAUGGAUAGUGAUCGAUGAACUACGAAUGGCUUGAUCCCUGUUUAGAGUACAUAGGCAGUCUAACGAGGAGGUUAGAUGCAGCCAUAAAGCUUACGAAAAAUUAUUACGCAGUUGGAUCUUGAGUUAUGCCUUGUACAUAUCUCGGAGGCGGGAUCUGUUAGAUAUACGAAUACUGGAUGACGUCACGCGUCGAUCCUGGACGUAUGUUGGGUUCGGGGCGUGACAAUUUUCAUGUCCAUGCUAUUGAAUUAUCAGAGAGACAGGCCGAUUGCCCAACUCCAACAACAUUGACAUUGUUCCCAACUUGGUAAUUACCACCUGCAUAAUUCGUUAGGUGCGGGGUUUUAUCACAAAAUGCCUCAGUUUUAGUUGGAGUGGGGUUAGGAUAUUUAAACUCUUUUUUUUUUUCAUUGAUACGAUUGAUGUGAGACAUUUCAACACGCCCCCUCACGUGGGACCCAAUUAGUGGGUCACACGUGAGAAAUUCACACAUCGACAACCACGUGGAGCCAAGAGGACUCACCCUACACAAGGGGUCAUGGGACCCACCAUCAUCGCGUGAGGUCAAGGGGUCUCACUCAUCAUGUGGCAGUACAGUACGAGCCCGUUUUCUGGCUUUGAUAACAUGUUGAAUUAUCAAAGAGACAGGUGGAGGGCCCAACUCCAACAACAUCGAUACCGUUCUCAACUUGGUAAUUACCACCUGCACAAUCCAUCACGUGUGAGAUUUUAUCACAAAAGAUCUCGGUUUUAGUUGGAGUGAGGUUAUGAUAUUUAAAUUCUUAUUUUCUCAUUAAUACGGUUGAUGUGAGACAUUUUAACACAUGCACUUUUAUGCAGAUGGUUACUUUGUAUCUAAGUUGGAAAUAUUUAUCUGAUUUGUCAUUUUCCUUAUUGCUUAAACUUUGAUCUUGUACACAUAAAUCUGAGUUAUUUACAACUGCACCAUAGAGGUCACUUUAUAAAAGCCUGCAAUGGGACAAUGACUUGUGUUGGUGGUCAUGUUGCUUGGUUUGACAAUAUAAUUGUGAUCGAAUGUUCAGGUGGGAUAUCGAGGAUUCUGCGAAGAAGUUAGGAUCAUGGUCUAAAAUAUCCAUAAUAUCCCGAUAUUUUCAUUGAAAUUUCCGUGUUUUUGGAUUACCGAUAUUUCCGAUAUCAUCGAUAUUUUAGACCUUGCUAAGUCACUUGUGUAUCUUACCAAGCAAUGUUUAAAGUGUAAAAUAUUGUACUAAUUCAUUAUAUAUAAAUGAUUAUGGCGUGUUUAAACUUC